GUGGGCGCUGGAGAACUGAGGGGGGCUGCUCCUAGUACGAGAGGACCGGAGUGGACGCAUCACUGGUGUUCGGGUUGUCAUGCCAAUGGCACUGCCCGGUAGCUAAAUGCGGAAGAGAUAAGUGCUGGGGCAUUGCUCACCAGAUUGCGUAGCUCACGACUGAUGGUUUUGCUGUGUUUCCGCCACUGCUCAUCAUUUUUGCGCACAUUGUCGGCGGUAAAGUUCUCAGCAACCUUCGUCGCCCACGGCGUUA
rnacentral:rRNA from 1 species